rnacentral:rRNA from 1 species
UACGUAGGUGGCAAGCGUUGUCCGGAUUUACUGGGCGUAAAGAGCGCGCAGGCGGUCGGAUAAGUCGAAUGUGAAAGCCCCCGGCUCAACUGGGGAGGGUCAUUCGAUACUGUUCGACUCGAAGGCAGGAGAGGGAAGUGGAAUUUCCGGUGUAGCGGUGAAAUGCGUAGAUAUCGGAAGGAACAUCAGUGGCGAAAGCGACUUCCUGGACCAAUACUGACGCUCAUGUGCGAAAGCGUGGGGAGCAAACAGGG